AUUGAACGCUGGCGGCAUGCUUUACACAUGCAGGUCGAACGGUAACAGCACUUCGGUGGCUGACGAGUGGCGAACGGGUGAGUAAUACAUCGGAACGUGCCUAGUAGUGGGGGAUAACUACUCGAAAGAGUAGCUAAUACCGCAUGAGAUCUAAGGAUGAAAGCAGGGGACCUUCGGGCCUUGCGCUACUAGAGCGGCUGAUGGCAGAUUAGGUAGUUGGUGGGAUAAAAGCUUACCAAGCCGACGAUCUGUAGCUGGUCUGAGAGGACGACCAGCCACACUGGGACUGAGACACGGCCCAGACUCCUACGGGAGGCAGCAGUGGGGAAUUUUGGACAAUGGGCGCAAGCCUGAUCCAGCAAUGCCGCGUGCAGGAUGAAGGCCUUCGGGUUGUAAACUGCUUUUGUACGGAACGAAAAGCCCUCUUCUAAUACAGGAGGGUCAUGACGGUACCGUAAGAAUAAGCACCGGCUAACUACGUG
rnacentral:rRNA from 1 species